AAGACCUUGCGCUUUUGGAGCGGCCGAUGCCUGAUUAGCUUGUUGGUAAGGUAAAAGCUUACCAAGGCUUCGAUCAGUAGCUGGUCUGAGAGGACGACCAGCCACACUGGGACUGAGACACGGCCCAGACUCCUACGGGAGGCAGCAGUGGGGAAUUUUGGACAAUGGGGGCAACCCUGAUCCAGCCAUGCCGCGUGAGUGAAGAAGGCCUUCGGGUUGUAAAGCUCUUUCAGCCGGAACGAAACGGUUACGGAUAACACCCGUGACUACUGACGGUACCGGAAGAAGAAGCACCGGCUAACUACGUGCCAGCAGCCGCGGUAAUACGUAGGGUGCGAACGUUAAUCGGAAUUACUGGGCGUAAAGCGUGCGCAGGUGGUUUUGUAAGUCAGAUGUGAAAGCCCCGGGCUCAACCUGGGAACU
rnacentral:rRNA from 1 species